rnacentral:rRNA from 1 species
UACGUAGGGUGCGAGCGUUAAUCGGAAUUACUGGGCGUAAAGUGUGCGCAGGCGGCCAUGCAAGUCGAGUGUGAAAGCCCCGAGCUUAACUUGGGAAUUGCGCUCGAAACUACGUGGCUGGAGUGUGGCAGAGGAAGGUGGAAUUCCACGUGUAGCGGUGAAAUGCGUAGAGAUGUGGAGGAACACCAAUGGCGAAGGCAGCCUUCUGGGCCAACACUGACGCUCAUGCACGAAAGCGUGGGGAGCAAACAGG